rnacentral:rRNA from 1 species
GUGACUGCGUACCUUUUGUAUAAUGGGUCAGCGACUUAUAUUCUGUAGCAAGGUUAACCGUAUAGGGGAGCCGAAGGGAAACCGAGUCUUAACUGGGCGUUAAGUUGCAGGGUAUAGACCCGAAACCCGGUGAUCUAGCCAUGGGCAGGUUGAAGGUUGGGUAACACUAACUGGAGGACCGAACCGACUAAUGUUGAAAAAUUAGCGGAUGACUUGUGGCUGGGGGUGAAAGGCCAAUCAAACCGGGAGAUAGCUGGUUCUCCCCGAAAGCUAUUUAGGUAGCGCCUCGUGAACUCAUCUUCGGGGGUAGAGCACUGUUUCGGCUAGGGGGUCAUCCCGACUUACCAACCCGAUGCAAACUGCGAAUACCGAAGAAUGUUAUCACGGGAGACACACGGCGGGUGCUAACGUCCGUCGUGAAGAGGGAAACAACCCAGACCGCCAGCUAAGGUCCCAAAGUCACAGUUAAGUGGGAAACGAUGUGGGAAGGCUCAGACAGCCAGGAUGUUGGCUUAGAAGCAGCCAUCAUUUAAAGAAAGCGUAAUAGCUCACUGGUCGAGUCGGCCUGCGCGGAAGAUGUAACGGGGCUAAACUGUGCACCGAAGCUGCGGCAGCGACGCUUAUGCGUUGUUGGGUAGGGGAGCGUUCUGUAAGCCUGCGAAGGUGUCCUGUGAGGGAUGCUGGAGGUAUCAGAAGUGCGAAUGCUGACAUAAGUAACGAUAA